rnacentral:rRNA from 1 species
CCAAUAGCGUAUAUUAAAGUUGUUGCAGUUAAAAAGCUCGUAGUUGAAUUUCGGAAUUUUUUUAUCGGUUGAAUCAACAGGUUCGUACUGAUUUUAAGAAUUUCUACCCUCUGGAGAACCUUAAUGUCAUUUAUUUGGUGUUUUGGGAAACCAGGACUGUUACCUUGAAAAAAUUAGAGUGUUUAAAGCAGGCUUAUGUCUGAAUAUAUUAGCAUGGAAUAAUGAAAUAGGACGGCAUGGUUCUAUUUUGUUGGUUUCUAGGAUCACCGUAAUGAUUAAUAGGGAUAGUUGGGGGCAUUAGUAUUCAAUUGUCAGAGGUGAAAUUCUUGGAUUUAUCGAAGACUAACUUCUGCGAAAGCAUUUGCCAAGGAUGUUUUCAUUAAUCAAGAACGAAAGUUAGGGGAUCGAAGACGAUCAGAUACCGUCGUAGUCUUAACCAUAAACUAUGCCGACUAGGAAUCGGACGAAGUUAAUUUUUUAAUGACUCGUUCGGCGCCUUACG